GACGAACGCUGGCGGCGCGCCUAACACAUGCAAGUCGAACGGGGAAGUUAGCAAUAACUUUCUGGUGGCGGACGGGUGAGUAACGCGUGGGUAACCUGCCCUGUACACACGGAUAACAUACCGAAAGGUAUGCUAAUACGAGAUAACAUACUUUUAUCGCAUGGUAGAAGUAUCAAAGCUUUUGCGGUACAGGAUGGACCCGCGUCUGAUUAGCUAGUUGGUAAGGUAACGGCUUACCAAGGCGACGAUCAGUAGCCGACCUGAGAGGGUGAUCGGCCACAUUGGAACUGAGACACGGUCCAAACUCCUACGGGAGGCAGCAGUGGGGAAUAUUGCACAAUGGGCGAAAGCCUGAUGCAGCAACGCCGCGUGAGCGAUGAAGGCCUUCGGGUCGUAAAGCUCUGUCCUCAAGGAAGAUAAUGACGGUACUUGAGGAGGAAGCCCCGGCUAACUACGUGCCAGCAGCCGCCGUAA
rnacentral:rRNA from 1 species